rnacentral:rRNA from 1 species
GAUGAACGCUAGCUACAGGCUUAACACAUGCAAGUCGAGGGGCAGCAUGGGGUUUGCUUGCAAACUCUGAUGGCGACCGGCGCACGGGUGAGUAACGCGUAUCCAACCUUCCCCCCAGUAGGGCAUAGCCCGGUGAAAAUCGGAUUAAUACCCUAUGUUGUAUUUUGAGGACAUCUGACGAAUACCAAAGGUUUACCGCUAGGGGAUGGGGAUGCGUCUGAUUAGCUAGUUGGUAAGGUAACGGCUUACCAAGGCGACGAUCUGUAGCCGGACUGAGAGGUCGGACGGCCACAUUGGGACUGAGACACGGCCCAAACUCC